UGGGGAAUUUUGGACAAUGGGCGAAAGCCUGAUCCAGCAAUGCCGCGUGUGUGAAGAAGGCCUUCGGGUUGUAAAGCACUUUUGUCCGGAAAGAAAUCCUUGGCUCUAAUACAGUCGGGGGAUGACGGUACCGGAAGAAUAAGCACCGGCUAACUACGUGCCAGCAGCCGCGGUAAUACGUAGGGUGCAAGCGUUAAUCGGAAUUACUGGGCGUAAAGCGUGCGCAGGCGGUUUGCUAAGACCGAUGUGAAAUCCCCGGGCUCAACCUGGGAACUGCAUUGGUGACUGGCAGGCUAGAGUAUGGCAGAGGGGGGUAGAAUUCCACGUGUAGCAGUGAAAUGCGUAGAGAUGUGGAGGAAUACCGAUGGCGAAGGCAGCCCCCUGGGCCAAUACUGACGCUCAUGCACGAAAGCGUGGGGAGCAAACAGGAUUAGAUACCCUGGUAGUCCACGCCCUAAAACGAUGUCAACUAGUUGUUGGGGGUUCAUUUCCUUAGUAACGUAGCUAACGCGUGAAGUUGACCGCCUGGGGAGUACGGUCGCAAGAUUAAAACUCAAAGGAAUUGACGGGGUCAUAGCUGUUUCCU
rnacentral:rRNA from 1 species